UAAGCCGUGGUGCAGUCUGCUGCUGCUCACAACGCUAGUGAGGACUGAGGAGGUGACACAUCGCCCAUAGCUUCGACAGCUCUCCAAGAAACUUGAAAAUUUAUUGUUACUUGCGACCAUUUAGGAAAUAAUUUUGAAAGAAUAAUCGGAGAAAAAGACCCUUUUUGCGCCUGCACCUGACCUGUUUUCUUCAGCAGAGAAGGGAACUAUGGCUGAACAAGUGAAUUCUCACUCUGCCAUGGCCAAGGCUCGCCACACCGAUGGUCUCAACGUGAUCUUUGACCAGAAAAGCCCCGGAUCUUCUCAUUCCCGCUCCCGGUCGAGGAGCAGCAGCAGUUCCAGCAGUCGCAGCAGCCGCUCCUCCGGUUCUGGUCACUACAAGAGGCGAGGAAGACGUGACAGAUCUUCAUCCUCAUCUUCCUCCUGUUCAACCUCAAGGAGCCGGUCCUCGUCACGGUCCAGGUCUCGCUCUCACCCUCGCUGCCGGCGCCGCUCCUCCUGCUGUCGCUGUGAUGAACACAAAGGAAGAUCUGGCCGGCGCCACUACCGCCGCUCCCCAUCACGUCGUUACAGAGCCCAUUCCCGCUCCUACAGCCGCUCCCCCUCACCAGACAGAUACUACCGCCGUCGCAGAUAUUCAAGAUCCCGCUCCAGGUCUUUGGGUCGCUGGAGGCAGUACAGAAGACCCGUGAGCCCUCUCAGAUUCCGAUUCUCCCCAUCCCCAUACAGAACCUACAGAUCCAGAUCCAGGAGUCCUGUGCGCUCUGUCAGCUUGAGCCUUGAUGAAAAAAGGAGACUCCUUGAAGCUGCUAAGGCCAACGCCAUGAAGAUCCUUGGAGUGGAGAAGAUAGAACUUCCUGAGAGUGUCAAACCCAUCCUGUCCGAAGAACCAGAGCCCAGACCACUGUCACCAGAACCACCAUUCAGGAGGAGGCACGUUUCUGAAAGGACCGGACCUCAGAUCUGCAGUUUUUGUUGGAGCACAGGACAGGGAUGUUGAUCCUGACGUGUCCAGCCCCAUGAUGUCUCCAAAAAGACACAUUGCUUUCAGCACAAAUAAUUCUAUGGCCAAACCAACAGCAGCAGCUCCAUCUCCUGCUAAGCUAACUUCCAGAGUGGACAGCUAUGAAAGCAGGAAGCCCUACGGCAGCUGGAUUCCAAUCGGUUCGGGCCAAAGUGCACGCAAAUAAGCUUUGAGCCACAAUGGUGUAGCUGCAUGGACUGUGUAAAUAUUGUAAAUAGUUUGUAUAAAAAAAUAAUGGUUUAUCACUUCGUGGUCAUUUUUCUUUCUUUCAGAUGUCAAAACUUUAUAUGUGAAGAUUUGAAGAACUCGUAUCAGGUGGGAUUAUUUCUAUAGUGCAUUGUUCAUUUGUAGAUGUCAAUAAAGUUGUGUUGAACUACUGGAA